CAAGAGUGCUGCAAAUUGAAGCCGGAGGAAACAAAGUUGAUAGAAGUGGAAAAAGUCGAUAUAUAAGAAGUCAGUCAUUUGUGUGUAUGCAGGUGUGGGACAUUCCAAAUGUUCCAAAAGUGAGCACUCCACGAAUGGACAACAGUUUGCCAGGACCUCUCAGGCACCCACAACCAGCGUCUGAUCGGGAUGGAGCACCAACCCCAUUCCAGGAAGAGGUCCAGUCUGCCCCGGGUCAGAACCACUUCUAUAGGUAAACGAUGUUGACAGUUGCAUCGUGACACAGUUGUGUGGUGUGUAUCUUUAUUUUACAUUUUUUUGUUUGUAUAGCCUCCAAUCACA